GUCUGCAUGGAGCCGGCCUUGAAAUACCACCCUUUAAUGUUUGAUGUUCUAACGUGGACCCGUGAUCCGGGUUGCGGACAGUGUCUGGUGGGUAGUUUGACUGGGGCGGUCUCCUCCUAAAGAGUAACGGAGGAGCACGAAGGUUGGCUAAUCCUGGUCGGACAUCAGGAGGUUAGUGCAAUGGCAUAAGCCAGCUUGACUGCGAGCGUGACGGCGCGAGCAGGUGCGAAAGCAGGUCAUAGUGAUCCGGUGGUUCUGAAUGGAAGGGCCAUCGCUCAACGGAUAAAAGGUACUCCGGGGAUAACAGGCUGAUACCGCCCAAGAGUUCAUAUCGACGGCGGUGUUUGGCACCUCGAUGUCGGCUCAUCACAUCCUGGGGCUGAAGUAGGUCCCAAGGGUAUGGCUGUUCGCCAUUUAAAGUGGUACGCGAGCUGGGUUUAGAACGUCGUGAGACAGUUCGGUCCCUAUCUGCCGUGGGCGCUGGAGAACUGAGGGGGGCUGCUCCUAGUACGAGAGGACCGGAGUGGACGCAUCACUGGUGUUCGGGUUGUCAUGCCAAUGGCACUGCCCGGUAGCUAAAUGCGGAAGAGAUAAGUGCUGAAAGCAUCUAAGCACGAAACUUGCCCCGAGAUGAGUUCUCCCUGACCCUUUAAGGGUCCUGAAGGAACGUUGAAGACGACGACGUUGAUAGGCCGGGUGUGUAAGCGCAGCGAUGCGUUGAGCUAACCGGUACUAAUGAACCGUGAGGCUUAACCUUACAACGCC
rnacentral:rRNA from 1 species